AUCAAUGUCUCCACAUCAGGGUGUCCAGCCUUUUUGAAUGUGGGGCCUGAACAUGAACUUUUUAUCACCCAGCGGGCUGGCGAGCCACAUUGAAAGACUUCACAGGAAGCGGUA